UCGGGAUAACACCUGGAAACAGAUGCUAAUACCGGAUAACAACAGAUGAUGCCUAUCAACUGUUUAAAAGAUGGUUCUGCUAUCACUCUUGGAUGGACCUGCGGUGCAUUAGCUAGUUGGUAGGGUAACGGCCUACCAAGGCGAUGAUGCAUAGCCGAGUUGAGAGAUUGAUCGGCCACAUUGGGACUGAGACACGGCCCAAACUCCUACGGGAGGCAGCAGGC
rnacentral:rRNA from 1 species